rnacentral:lncRNA from 1 species
ACCUUCAAUCUUCAUACUAAGCGAACGGUAUAAAAACGCACAGUCUUCAUUCAAGAUGUGUAGCAGCAGUGUCCUACCGACGGAAAGAACGAUGAAAUAUUUGGUGCUUCUAAUGCUCUCUGCAGCUGUUCUUCAAACACAGGGCACAGCUGAGUAUGAUGACGACUCUGGCGAGAAUAGCACCCCUACAGAGGCAAGCAACAGCACCGUGUCUACAGCGGCCCCGAAGCUUCUUCAGGCUGGCUCAAACGGGACCGGUAACUUUGAAACUAUCGAGUAUUAGUGAUCUACAGGGAAGGAAGACAUCCGUUUUCAUUAUAUCUUAGUGAAUCGAAGUGAAAUAAGACAUACGUAGACUGUAUGCAAUAAAAGUGCACCUUUAUAUAUUAUACAAUUAGAAAA